rnacentral:rRNA from 1 species
GUGAGUAAUGCAUAGGAAACUGCCCGGUAGUGGGGGAUAACCUGGGGAAACCCAGGCUAAUACCGCAUACGUCCUACGGGAGAAAGCAGGGGCUCUUCGGACCUUGCGCUAUCGGAUGUGCCUAUGUCGGAUUAGCUGGUUGGUGAGGUAACGGCUCACCAAGGCGACGAUCCGUAGCUGGUCUGAGAGGAUGAUCAGCCACACUGGGACUGAGACACGGCCCAGACUCCUACGGGAGGCAGCAGUGGGGAAUAUUGGACAAUGGGCGAAAGCCUGAUCCAGCCAUGCCGCGUGUGUGAAGAAGGCUUUCGGGUUGUAAAGCACUUUCAGUGGGGAAGAAGGCCUGGCGGUUAAUACCCGCCAGGGACGACAUCACCCACAGAAGAAGCACCGGCUAACUCCGUGCCAGCAGCCGCGGUAAUACGGAGGGUGCGAGCGUUAAUCGGAAUUACUGGGGCGUAAAGCGCGCGUAGGCGGCUUG